AGCGAUAUCAUCGUGCGUGUUUUCUCAUCUCUACUACUUCGUGUGUGGACAUUUUGCCUGACUUUGGCAGCGCGUCUGUGGCUUUUCACUACUCUAAAAUUCCAUUGGGCUAACAUUAACUAUUGUAGUGUUAGUGUGAUGUGCAGAAUCUCUCCUGUGCCGUCGUCGUCGUCGUUGUCGUCAUCGUCAUCGUCUCGCGGCUGGCAGCCCGAUGAUGUAUUGCAGCAGCGCAGUAAUAAGUAAACCACAAGAACACCGUCGCACACACACACACACACAGACACAGCCACACAAGCGUACACGCAUGGAGCGUAUUCAAACAAUUACCAAUACACUAACACAGAUUGCCAUCCACUUUUUGGCCGGCGGCUAACGGUUCCUGCUAACAUUGAUGAUUGCGGCUCGUUGACGGCGCCCGCCAUUGUUAUUGCUGUUCUUCCUGUUGUUGUUGUUGCUGUUGUCGGUGUCUGGAGACGCUCGAACGUGUGCUCAUCAUAAUCCCGAUAUACUACAUAUAAGGAGCAAAAAAAAAGCGGCCGCCGAUGCAAACACACACACACACACACACGCAUGCACUUCUCACGCAUACAUAAAUAAACAUGUGUCGCCGUGUGUUGUAACGAAAAGUGUAAAAUAAGCAUCAAUCAUCGCUUAUUUGAGUUGUCAUCAAUCACACACACACACACAGAGAGAGAGGGAGGGAGGGAGAGAGACCGCGCUACGCUGCGGUGACAACGGACCACAGCAACAACAACAACAACAACAACUACUGCAAGGGAAGCAACAAGCAGCAGCGACGUCAUCCUUGAUGGACACUGGCGAUGCGGUGAUAUCCUCGAUAUCCUCCCCUCGCCGCUUAAAGGACAACACUUCACCCCCCCCAACUCCUAAUCAGCUUUUGCCAGUUAUUAAAUCAUCAGGUUGCACGAUCAAGCGACCAAAAAAACGCCCAUCCGCUGUCACAUGUCUGUCAACAGUCAACAAAAAAAAAAAAAUAGCGGAGUAACCAAAUAUCCUGGUCGCAGGACGUUAACCAGUUUUGCGUGCGUCAAGCUAGAAAAUAAAGAUUUAAUCGCCAUUUAUGUGUGUAUGGAUUUUUCAACGCCUUUUCGCAGACCCUCAAAAAAGUGUUUUGAAUGGAUGAAGCAUGUCAAGUAGUGUCCAAUCUCUGAGACUUUGAUAAACAUAUUUUAUUAUGUCAGGCGAAGAAAAAGAAGGAAGAAGAAAAAGGACAUUCGAUGGAGAGAGCAGAGCGGAGUGGAGGUGGUUGAAGAUUAGCAAAGCGAAAGGAUGCGUGUCAUUGAAAUCGAGCUUCGAAUUAUUUUAAAUCGGAGUGGAACAUUUGGAGUGUUCAGUUGAUAGUUGUACAAAUAAAUGGCACUAAAGUGAAGCUUCCACUGAAGAACUGAUUGCCAUUUUCUGUCUGUCGAUGUCUGACGAAGAGUCGCAAAUUUGUUGCCCGGAAUCCGAGUGGCUUUAAGCAGGAAAGUGGACAAUUGAAUGAAGAGAGAAUGUGUGUGGACAGAUGUCUGGGAACAGAAAGCGCGAAGUCUGAACUCGGCUCAAUAAUUGCAAACUACUGAAGCAUUUAAUAUUUUGAGUGCAUUUCCGCGUUACGCGUUGGCAGAGGGAAAAUCAACGAACCAACAACAGCAACAACAGCAACAUCGGAAAAUCGAAAGUCUCAGCCUGGAGCCUGGACACAGGUCAUUGCUGUCUCUCUCUGGCUUGGCGUAAAGUUAAUAAAGCGCCCCCUGCAGGCAACAAACAAUUUGUCCAGAAGUUCAACUCGAGGCAAAGAGGGAAGCUCAACGGACUGCGAACUUGAAAUUCUAAUUGGCAUUUUAUGCCGCAGCCAAUGCAAAGGAAGGAGGGUGAAGAGGAGGAAGGGGAUGAAGGGGAGCAGGAGGAGAACACAGUGUGUUGGCUGUCGAACAGCUCGGUUGAGGAACACUUCCAUGGAUGCGCGGAGGAGGAGGAGGAGGGAGGAUAGAAGAGCGAACCGUUGAUGAUGCCAGGCAAUGGGCAACGUUUUGCAUUUUGCGGGCGAUAUCAUGUUGGAUUAAAAGCGCGUCGUGCCCUUCGUUGCAAAUUAAUUUCGUGUACAUGUCCUGCAGCCUUUUGCAAGUUUAUGCGCCUGCAUCCAUCCAUCCACAUGUGUCUGCCUCACUCUCUCUUUGUCUCCCUCUUUCUCUCUCGCUCUCUCUGGGCACAUAUCGAGUUACCCAGCCAGGCUACGAACCUGUCCAUCACUUGACCCCUUUUGUGAUGUCCUGAUGUCCAGGACAACCGCAAAUGUUAAAGCGGCGUGACUUUAUUUGAUUGUGUCUGCGUUGAGUUGAGAGUCGAAAGUUGAGAGUUGAGUUGAGAGUGCGCUGGCAUUUUUUCGGUUUUUCGGUUUCGCCUUGUUUUUAGAUCCGCUUGGAAAUUAUACAAAAACAGUAGAUACAUUUUAACAUAACACCGCAUUGUUGUCUAAAUUGAAUUUAAAACCCUUUCCUUUUUUUUUGCACCUUUUCUAUUUUGAUUUAGUCAGUGUUUUUUUGCGUGUUAAUGAAUGUGAUCAGAGGAAGCCAACAUAAAUACUUCAUUAACUUGCUGAGAGGAAACUAGCUGAAAGAAGC